CCUGCAUCGGCAGGCGGACUCUCAACCACUGCGCCACCAGGGAAGCCCGAGGCAACUCAGGAUUGGCUUGUGGUACAGGGAAAAAAAGUUGGAACUUAAGAGACGAGCAAAAGGCACAAAACAGG